rnacentral:misc_RNA from 1 species
AGUCGAAAAUUGUUUUGUUCGUAUUUUUCUUUCCCCUCCUCCUGCCUACGAAGCACGACGCUUACACGCAAACACGCCGACACACGCAUUCGUUUCUCUUUUUGUGUCUCUUCUCGGCCUUUGAUCUUGCUUUGCUCUUCUCCUUCCUCUUCAAACCAAGCCCUGCCUUUCGCAUCUCUACUACCAAGCGCGCCACCCUCCCACUUCCCUCGGUGGCCGGUACUCUUGCUUCUUUUUUCCCCUUAUCUCGUGGGUUCCACGAUCUUGCUCCGUCAAAGUCUCGGGGGUUGGAGCUCCACGACGCGCUUCUCUGUCUCGCACGCAUCUUACUCGCUCUGCGACUAGUUUCUCUCCUGCUCUUCCUUUAGUUGUCUCGUUGUGUGUGUGUGUGUGCUUCACUUCCUGCGCCGUUCGACGACCCUUUCCUCUCUCGCUCGCUCACGCACCCUCAGAAAAAGGCGCGUCUGCAUGUCUGGUGGCGGUGCUCAGAAACAAAGAGAGAAGGUUACCGUUGUCAUCGGCUGCAGGCCGAGGCCAACGACACGGGUUUUGAAUCGACACACAUACAGAGGCUCGCGAAUUACCACCGACUGCGCUAGCAACACACCUGCGUACACCAAUUCACACGCCUCGUGAGCACCUAUCGAUAUAGUCAGGCACACAGGCGAACGGACCCCCUCUCCCCUCCUCCGCCUUUAGUCCUCCUGCGCUUGCGUGAGUGGGUGGGUGCCGUCUUUGCUUUUGUGGGUCUGCGAUCUUGUGUAUUUUUGUGCAUGAGUACCUGCGUCGUGUGCAUCGAUCUGUGCGCGUUUUUUUAUGUGUUUGUGUGGCUAUGCCUCUGUUACAGGUUCUCAUUGUCUAGCUGUUUCUUGUCUCCCUCCCUCCCUCCCUCCAUAGUACAAACCAUACCCCCUUCUCCCCUCUCCGUCAUCCACUGUCUUUUUGUCUUUUCAGCGUCCCCCCUCUCUCGCUCCCUCUUCCUUUGUUGGCUCCUCUGUGCGUGUUGCUUCUUGACUUGUUGCUUGAUCUCUGCUCUCGGUGCCGUGCAUGAACAUUGUGAGUUUGGGACUCCUCGCUGGCCACCCCCCUCCCCACUCUCUCACUCUACCUGCCCGUCCCAUUGUUUUUCUGUCUCCAUUUUCCUUCGAGCUGUGUCACCCCGCUGCUGCUCUGUGUCUGUCCGCGUGCGGUGGCCGUAUUUUUGUAUGGUGCCGUUUUGUGUCAUCGACACGUCCAGUUCUGGCCGUUGGUGAAAUAUAUACAUAAAUAUAUCUAUAUAUAUAUUGGGGUGCUCGCAUCGCUCGUAAUUUUGCCUUCUUAUAGUCUGCUACCGCUGUUCUUGUUGACGUUGGCGUUUAUCUGCGCGUGCAUUUCUUGUCGAUCUAUCUUCCUUGCUCUCGUGCAUCGAGUAUAGUGCUGUCGAUUGAGCGUGCUCGUUUCCGCGUCCCCAAACAGACGGGGUGUGUGCGGACGUUGCGUUUUCGUGCGCGUGCGUUUGUUUGUGCGGACGUUGGUGUGCUGGGCGUGCGGUGCGCUGUGGAGGGAUCAACAUCGAAGCAGAGGUCUCUGCUCGCACGGAGACUGCCAUUGAUCGAGGGCAAACAAGACAAGAGGAAAAAAGACCAAAAACAUUAGCAUCCAUAAGUUCAUUACUUGCUCCCCCUUUUUUGUCGUCGUUUGGGUGUUGCGUUUUUGCGGCGUUUCUGGUUCAGCUGUUGCCGGUGCUUCUGCUGCUGUGUCCCUCUUCUUCCUCUUGCUCAUCUGUUUCCAUCUGCUUACUUCCCUCUGCGUGUUUCCUGUUUCGUUGUCGCCACAACCCUUUCCGCACUGACGUUCUCGCGUCCGGUUCUCGUCACACAUCUGUUCCCGCUUCUACGCUUGGGUGGUGUCUCCACUUUUGCUCUCUCUCUGGCCGCUGCGUUUCAACAUCUUCGUUCCUUCUCUUCUCCGUGCUUGUCUUGUCUCUCUGCCUGUCUGUCUCUCUCUCUCUCUGUGGUUGUUCUGUUUUAGAGCGACGAGGACGCCGAUCAGGAACUCCCCCUCACCUCCCGUCGUCGUCUCCUUUGGUGCUUGCUUGCCCAUUCCCAUUCCCCUUCCUUCCUCGGCAAUCCCGCCUUGCCCUUCUCGUUCUCGGUCGGCUUGCGCUUGCCUUGUAAAACCCUCCUUGUCUCACCCCCUUUUUUUUUGUCCCCCCUGAAGGGUCAGGAACAGCGCACAGGCAACUUCUCUGUCACGCACACUCACAAAGACAAAACCGAACACGAAAACGAGUACAAAACACGCCCGCAUUUUUUUUUUGGUCGUAAUCGUCAUUAACGUAAAACCGAACAAACAAGGCUGCUGUGAGUUGUCCGUGUUGUUCGUUUCUGCCUUUCGAUUCUGCUGGCUUUGGUUGUCUUUAUCGUUUUUUUCCCCCUUUUUUCUCGUUGUCGUUUUUCCUCCUUUUCGCUAAAGACAAACCUCUCUUCCCCUCCUCCCCAUCAAAGACGGCCGCGAAGACCCAUUUUUUUUUCUCUGUUCUUUCCGCUCUUCUCUGCCACAUCCCCAAACACCCCUCCGCUUGUUGCCCGGGCCUCACAGCGCACCUGCUUUUGUACCUCCUCCUCCCUCUUCCGGGCAUAGACAACGCACUCAGGCGCAGAGUGCAUACUGGAUUGCGGUUUACGCUACCUCAUCCCUUUGAGACUUGCGCUUGGCCAGGGGCGUAUACCGGCUCUCGUGUGCCUGCCGAUCUCUUUCCUCUCUUACUUCUCACUUCUGUGCGUUUUUUUCCUUUUCGCUCUUUUUGUUGUGCAACUGCGGCGUAUCUAAACAGUCUGACGGAUAUCUAUAUAUAGAUAGAUCCAUCUAUAUAUGUGUGUGGUUGUUUUCUUUCGGUCCCUCUCUCUCUGUCGUGCUGAUUCUCUCUGUUUAACGCCAUUUUUUCUUUUUUUUGUUUGCCAUUCAUGUUGGCCUCACCGCGCAGUCACUCCGACACAGCGUAACGACCGACGAAACGAGCAACAAGAGAGAGAACAAAAAAAAAACGUCGCGAAGGGGUUUGGCUUGUGCCAUCUCUUUCCAUCUUUUGCUUUGUUGCUGUUGUCUUUAGUCGCAUGCUCUGAAGGAAACACCAAAAAAAAAGAAACGCACAUUGCCGUUGACUUCUUCGUGCUGACGUUCCUUUUUUAUUUUCCGUUUUGUUUUGCUUUGCCUUUCCUCCUCCUCCUCUUCCGCUCCGUCUGUCGCUAUCUUGUACGUGUGCUGUUGUUGUUGUACGAACUAGUUGUAUCUUGGCAGUAGCGUGUGACGUUCUUCUAUCUGUAUCUAUAUAUAUAUAUAUCCAUAUAUCUGUCUCUGUGUGUCUCAUUCUCUGCAAACCAUCGGCUUCCCCCCGGCGGCGUUGAUACCGGGCGCGCAGGAACACCCGAAAAGGUAAAGGGAGCGAAGGGGCGAGGUCGACAACACGGCAGUCGAAGAGGCAGAGAAAAAAGGAAACGAGAGAGAGGCCCUGGCGGGAGACGCAAGAUCAGGGAGAAGAACACGAGUCGAAAAAAUCGCGCGAAUAAUAAAACGAACUCAAGUGUGCCAGACAGAAAGGUUGAAAGCAGGAGUCCAAAGACGUUUGAUUCUCUCGGCAAACGCUGAACAGAUACGGCGCAGUGACAAGAAAAGAGAGGGAGCUAUAAACGGCAGCAGCAGCACGCUACACACGUACACGCGGAGCAAGGCGAAACAUAAGUUCCAGCCACAUUUGUCUGCUUGUUUCGCUCUCUCUCUCGGCGACCACUCGCCCCAUUAACGUGUCUCCUGCGAAGCAGCAACAAACAAUACACAAUACGCACACACACACGCACCAAAAAAAAAGGAAUAGUUGAGACACAAUCAAAAUCACGCACAGGCGCUCGGCUCUACCGCAUUCUGCGUAGGGCUGAGAGGUAGGGGCUAUCUUCCAUCCCUGUUGCACUUAUCCUGGCUUUUUGAUUUUUUUUUGAUGUUCACUGCUCACACAUCUAUUUUAUCUUGCUCUUUGACUUUGAGGGAAACAAACUCGUUGUUCUCAAUUGGAUUGGCGUUUUCUUUUUUUUUUCGUAUGUGUGUGCGCGUGAGCUUCUCUGCUUGACGUUCUCCUAAAAAUUUUGUCUUCGACUUUCCUCGCUCUCGUUUUUAUUUUCUCCUUGCGACUUUGUGUGUGCGUGCGUGUCUCUGUGCUGAUCGUGCGCUGCUUGCUCGCCCUUCCCUCUUUUUCCCCUUUCCGUCUGAUUCAGUUUACGUGUUUUUUUUUUUCGGCUUUGUUGUCCGCGCUUGCUUGACCACUUCUCUCUUUUUCUUCUGUGCGACGUUUGGUUUGUUUCCUCUUGUUCCCUCGACUUGUUUCGUCCCUUCUUUUUUCUUUGUUUUGCUCUUGCCCCCCCCCUCACGCGACCACCUCCUGCACCCCUUUCCUUGCUCACUCGUAUCGAGACGUUGCUGUCUUCGCUAGUGGCUACUACUGGUGUAGCUCCAUCUCUUUCUUUCCUUUUUUUCGUUUCGCUCCUUUCCUUUGUGUGUUGUGCAUCUGUGCUCCUUACGCCUUUUGCUUUUUUUUUCGUGGCUGUUCGCUGUUGGGAGCGCUUCUCUUUUCGGCCCUUUUCUGUUGUUGUCGCCCUGGCGCUCUCCCUUUCUCUCUUUCUUUGCGUUUUUUCUUUGUUUUAUCCACUUCGUUUUUCUUGUGCUCUCCUCUUCAGGCUUCUUUACGCGCUUCUUACGGUCUUUUCUCUCGGGCUGUGUCUCUCACGAUUCGUCCGUCAGCCUUCACCGCUAUUUUUUUUGUUUGUUUUGUUCUCUGCUCGUCCUCUCCCACCCCCUUUCUCUUUCCCUCUGAAUUACCCCUCCCUUUUUCUCCCCCCUGCAUCUUUCUCUCUCUCACACACACACACGCCUAUCUCGUCGAGUUCAUCGUUUUUUUUUUUCGGCUCUCCUCUGUGUCCUGCGUUUAUCGCGUGCUUCUUGUUUGCUUUUCGACGCCCUGUUUCCUUUCCUUUCUUUUGUAGCGUUUGUACUGCCUCUUCUCAGCUUGUGUGUCUGUCAGCCAGUGCGUCUCUCUACCUCGCUUUCUUUUUUCUUGAUUUUCCGUCUGUGCUCAAGAGAGCAUCGAAGGGAGAGGAGAAGGGAGAGAGGGGGGGGGCACAACUCUCUUGUAUUCACGCAUUGGGAAGGCGACCUCUUGCUCACCAGCCGGCGCAGAUACGUCGACUUGCAUAUUCUUCCCUCCCUCCUUCACACCUACCUCUUGAGUGCUUGCUUGGAAAAAGAAAAGACAGAUUUUUGUUCGCAUUUUUUUCGUUGCCUCGUCUGCACUCUCUUCCUGAGACGCGGCUUCUCCCCUCUUCCUCCUCGUUUUGUUUGCCUGCGUGUGUGUCCUUGUAGUGGUUAUCUCGUCCCCCCUUUUUUGUGUAAGUAGCUCUCCCGUGUCUCUUUCUUUGCGGUGUUGCUAUUUUUUUUUUAUUAUCGGCGCGCGCGUCUCCGAGGGACAUCGAAGAAGGCGCCACACUAAAAACAAGCAAAAACAAAACAAAAAGAGGAGAAAGAAGAGCAGAGUAGAAAAGCGCAUAGAAAAGUAGAGGGCUGGGGCGGGGCGGCCAUUAAGGAACGGCCAACACUGCACUCUCCCUCCAUCGGCGUCUCAUCCCUUCCUCCCUCCCGCGUCUCUCUUCGCUUCUCUUCAACUUCACUUGCCUUCUUUGUUGGUUUUGCUCUCCUCUUUCCCUCCCCUAGAAGAAGCGUGUGGCCGUCAACAGCAAGAGACGCAGAGGGGAGAGAAAAAAAAAUAGAGACGUACUCGACCUUUAGGUUGUAUUCCUUUCUUCGAAGCCUUCUCACCCCCUCCCUCCUUUAUCGUGCCUGUGUGCGUGUUCUCGUCAGCUUGGCCGGGUACCUCCGCCCCCCUUUCCUUCAUCAUUUCUUCGUCUUUGCACCUACCUACUUCUUUUUUUUUGUAGUCUUCUCGCGCCGGCAUAUCGCAGCACCUUUUCAUCGUUUACUUUCGCGCUCUUUUUUUUUUCGUUUGGCGCCGUCCGUCACGCGUGUGUGUGGGCAAGUACGUUGAAGGUUUUAUUUUUCUUGUUGUUUGUGCUAGCUCUCUCGUUUUCUCUCUGCUUUUCCACUCCACCCCUGCCAUUGCCACAGCAGCUCUUGAGCUGAGGUUCUCUCUCUGCUGCCUUGCCAAAGUUCGUGACGACUGAAGGAGGCGUGAACCAGCUAUCUUCUGUGCCUUUUCACUAGUUUUCCGAGGUCGAAGACUUCUCCUUCGUUCAACAAUCUGUUAGGCCGCAAAAAAAAAAGAAUAGUGAGACAUCUAUGCAGUUGGCGGCUCUUGCUUCAACCCACUCCCCUGCAAACGUGAUUGUCCCCACCCUCCCAGGCAGCAGCUACAGCAGCAGCGACGUACGGCAUCCAGGUCACGCUACCGGGGAAGCUCAGCCCUCUUGACAAGCGAGCGAGCUCUAGCGCCGGUACAACGUCCCUGGAGUUCACGAGGGCGACGUCAUCGUCUUCCCCUUCGAAGCAGUGUGCGCCGCUGGCACCCGCCGCUACCACAACGCGCGUCAUGGAGCCUCUCUCGAGCAGCGGCGUCAUCAGCCGUCGCGUCGACGAUGCUGGUGACACAAGCGAUCCUGUGCACGGAGGACAUCACGCGCGUCUCAUUAACGGUGGCGUUGGCUUAGGCCGGCAUGGUCACUAUUCCUCUCCUGCGUCAG